rnacentral:rRNA from 1 species
GACGAACGCUGGCGGCGCGCCUAACACAUGCAAGUCGAACGAGCGAGAGAGAGCUUGCUUUCUCGAGCGAGUGGCGAACGGGUGAGUAACGCGUGAGGAACCUGCCUCAAAGAGGGGGACAACAGUUGGAAACGACUGCUAAUACCGCAUAAGCCCACAGCUCGGCAUCGAGCAGAGGGAAAAGGAGCAAUCCGCUUUGAGAUGGCCUCGCGUCCGAUUAGCUAGUUGGUGAGGUAACGGCCCACCAAGGCGACGAUCGGUAGCCGGACUGAGAGGUUGAACGGCCACAUUGGGACUGAGACACGGCCCAGACUCCUACGGGAGGCAGCAGUGGGGAAUAUUGCACAAUGGGGGAAACCCUGAUGCAGCGACGCCGCGUGGAGGAAGAAGGUCUUCGGAUUGUAAACUCCUGUUGUUGAGGAAGAUAAUGACGGUACUCAACAAGGAAGUGACGGCUAACUACGUGCCAGCAGCCGCGGUAAAACGUAGGUCACAAGCGUUGUCCGGAAUUACUGGGUGUAAAGGGAGCGCAGGCGGGAAGGCAAGUUGGAAGUGAAAUCCAUGGGCUCAACCCAUGAACUGCUUUCAAAACUGUUUUUCUUGAGUAGUGCAGAGGUAGGCGGAAUUCCCGGUGUAGCGGUGGAAUGCGUAGAUAUCGGGAGGAACACCAGUGGCGAAGGCGGCCUACUGGGCACCAACUGACGCUGAGGCUCGAAAGUGUGGGUAGCAAACAGGAUUAGAUACCCUGGUAGUCCACACUGUAAACGAUGAUUACUAGGUGUUGGAGGAUUGACCCCUUCAGUGCCGCAGUUAACACAAUAAGUAAUCCACCUGGGGAGUACGACCGCAAGGUUGAAACUCAAAGGAAUUGACGGGGGCCCGCACAAGCAGUGGAGUAUGUGGUUUAAUUCGACGCAACGCGAAGAACCUUACCAAGUCUUGACAUCCUGCGACGGUGCUGGAAACAGUACUUUCCUUCGGGACGCAGAGACAGGUGGUGCAUGGUUGUCGUCAGCUCGUGUCGUGAGAUGUUGGGUUAAGUCCCGCAACGAGCGCAACCCUUAUGGUCAGUUACUACGCAAGAGGACUCUGGCCAGACUGCCGUUGACAAAACGGAGGAAGGUGGGGAUGACGUCAAAUCAUCAUGCCCUUUAUGACUUGGGCUACACACGUACUACAAUGGCGUUAAACAAAGAGAAGCAAGACCGCGAGGUGGAGCAAAACUCAGAAACAACGUCCCAGUUCGGACUGCAGGCUGCAACUCGCCUGCACGAAGUCGGAAUUGCUGGUAAUCGCAGAUCAGCAUGCUGCGGUGAAUACGUUCCCGGGCCUUGCAC